UACGUAGGGUGCAAGCGUUAAUCGGAAUACUGGGCGUAAAGCGUGCGCAGGCGGUGAUGUAAGACAGUUGUGAAAUCCCCGGGCUCAACCUGGGAACUGCAUCUGUGACUGCAUCGCUGGAGUGCGGCAGAGGGGGAUGGAAUUCCGGCGUGUAGCAGUGAAAUGCGUAGAUAUGCGGAGGAACACCGAUGGCGAAGGCAAUCCCCUGGGCCUGCACUGA
rnacentral:rRNA from 1 species